CUGCCUCGGUAUUGGAUAUCAAAAGUCCAUGCAAAUUGUUGCAAUGACUUCAGAUUAGUAGAAAGAUUGGAAACAGCAAGAGGUUCCUAAAUGUUAAAGAUGGAAGUCAUGUUCCAAUCCUGAUUUUAGGAAUCAUCAAGCUUAUUUUUAAUUUUACCAAUAUCAUUUUAGUGAUUAUCACUAUUGUCUAAUGAUUUUUGUGAUAUCAUUAUGAAUGAUGUCA
rnacentral:lncRNA from 1 species